AUGUAAAUGCAAUCUGGCUGGGACAGCUCUCACCCCAGUGAUGGCCAGGGCUGAGUCAGCAGAUCUCACUAGACAGGGGUCCCCAUCCUCCCUCAUGGCU
rnacentral:snRNA from 1 species